rfam:Kluyveromyces lactis strain NRRL Y-1140 chromosome F complete sequence.
GGUUGUGUGGCCGAGCGGUCUAAGGCGCCUGAUUCAAGAUACCAAUCUUAACCAACCUUACAGUUGGGAACACUCAGGUAUCGUAAGAUGCAAGAGUUCGAAUCUCUUCGCAACCA